UUAAGGGUGUGUUCAAAUUCUGGCCGGUGGCGAACUGCUAAGAAAGCUUCGAGCAGACGUAUAUAGCAGGAAGCCUUUGGAAGACGUCCCUGCGACUUGACACUACCUCGCGCCUAUAAGAAUAAGCUAAGAAAAGCACCUAUGACUGUGUUUCAACACCUUUCGAGUGCGAACCUGUAAAAAACAAAGCAGGCCAUUCGAACUGGGACCACCCCUGCGAUCGACUGCGGUGCGCAAACUUUCGCCGGAUGCCUUGCCGAGUCGGCACGCUGGUCGACCAACAACGCACGAGAGGGCGACGUGGGGCUCACCCGCGACUUUUGACAGAGAGAGCCAGAGAUGGGCGGGCUGACGGGCCGUCGACGAACGUUCCUCCGGCAGGUCUUUCCGGCGGCCGUGGAGCGGCGCUGACGGGCGGUUGACGGCUUCGAGUUGACGGCAUCACGGAGACGACCACAAGUGCCCUCAGCCGUUCGCCUGACUCGCUUUUGUUUCGUUCUGUUUUGUUUUUUUCGUCGACUCCUCGCUUGCUCGUUUCUGCUAUGGCGCUGAUCACGUGGGCUUCUUCUACGCACUGCGCGUCCUUGCCGGAACGUGCAGCUUGCCGGCUACUCGAGUCUCUUCUGCGGAGCAUGGCGUUGUGUGGAAGAGGGCCCGAGUAAUGACGAUGACCUUUGAAUGGUGCGUACAGAAGCGAGACGAGGCCCGGCCGACUUUGCAGCCUCAGGAUCAGCACCACCAUGGAGUUCCAAGGCCCUGCGAAUACACUAAACUAUCGGCAACAAGCAUACAUGAUAGGACAUUCCGCGCGGGGAGAAUAUCCUUCCGCGACUGAACAGUUCGCCGCAAAUGAACUUCGAGAGACCAUCACGUGAAACGCCAUCUCAUUCGGUGCGGUGUCCGAGCAAUAAGCUAUACGUCAAGGCACUAGAUACCUACCAAGAGCGACUUCAUUCUUUUCUCUCUUUUUUUUUUCUGCGCCAUGAUAUACAGAAAGAAGAGAAGAAACGGACAAUGAACGUCAA